rnacentral:tRNA from 1 species
GAAAUAUGUGAAUCAAAAAAAGAUUUCUAACCUUUUAUUAAGCGAUGAAACUUCGUUUAUAUUUCU